GCUUUCGAGGAGCGUUGCAAGGGCCCCCUGUUGAUCAGGCGAGUUGCCCCCAGGCUCGAAAGACACGUGAACCCUCAUGUGAUGUGCAACCGCGCUCACCCGCA
rnacentral:ncRNA from 2 species